rnacentral:rRNA from 1 species
CAGACUCCUACGGGAGGCAGCAGUGAGGAAUAUUGGUCAAUGGGCGAGAGCCUGAACCAGCCAAGUAGCGUGCAGGAUGACGGCCCUAUGGGUUGUAAACUGCUUUUAUAAGGGAAUAAAAGUGAGUCUCGUGAGGCUUUUUGCAUGUACCUUAUGAAUAAGGACCGGCUAAUUCCGUGC